rnacentral:rRNA from 1 species
UGGGGAAUAUUGGACAAUGGGCGCAAGCCUGAUCCAGCAAUGCCGCGUGUGUGAAGAAGGCCUUCGGGUUGUAAAGCACUUUUAUCAGGAGCGAAACGCUGUCGGCUAAUACCCGGCGGAACUGACGGUACCUGAGGAAUAAGCACCGGCUAACUUCGUGCCAGCAGCCGCGGUAAUACGAAGGGUGCAAGCGUUAAUCGGAAUUACUGGGCGUAAAGCGUGCGUAGGCGGUUUCUUAAGUCUGCUGUGAAAUCCCCGGGCUCAACCUGGGAAUGGCAGUGGAUACUGGGAGGCUAGAGUGUGUCAGAGGGUGGUGGAAUUCCCGGUGUAGCGGUGAAAUGCGUAGAGAUCGGGAGGAACAUCAGUGGCGAAGGCGGCCACCUGGGACAACACUGACGCUGAGGCACGAAAGCGUGGGGAGCAAACAGGAUUAGAUACCCUGGUAGUCCACGCCCUAAACGAUGCGGACUGGAUGUUGGUCUCAACUCGGAGAUCAGUGUCGAAGCUAACGCGUUAAGUUCGCCGCCUGGGGAGUACGGUCGCAAGAUUAAAACUCAAAUGAAUUGACGGGGUCAUAGCUGUUUCCUG